UACGUGAGGGGCGAACGUUGUUCGGUGUCACUGGGCUUAAAGGGUGCGUAGGUGGUUGCGUAAGUAAGGUGUGAAAUCCCUCGGCUUACCCGGGGAAUUGCAUUUUAUACUGCGUGGCUUGAGGACUAAAGGGGAAAAGGGAACUCCAGGUGUAGCGGUGAAAUGCGCAGAUAUCUGGGGGAAGGCCGGCGGCGAAGGCGGCAUCCUGGACCGGCAUUGACGCUGAGGAGCGAAAGCCAGGGGAGCAAACGGG
rnacentral:rRNA from 1 species